rnacentral:rRNA from 1 species
UACGUAGGGUGCAAGCGUUGUCCGGAAUUAUUGGGCGUAAAGAGCUCGUAGGCGGUCUGUCGCGUCGAUCGUGAAAACUUGGGGCUUAACCCUGAGCUUGCGGUCGAUACGGGCAUGACUGGAGUUCGGCAGGGGAGACUGGAAUUCCUGGUGUAGCGGUGAAAUGCGCAGAUAUCAGGAGGAACACCGGUGGCGAAGGCGGGUCUCUGGGCCGAUACUGACACUGAGGAGCGAAAGCGUGGGUAGCAAACAGG